GACGAACGCUGGCGGCGUGCUUAACACAUGCAAGUCGAACGGUGAACGAGGGAGCUUGCUCCCUCCGGAUCAGUGGCGAACGGGUGAGUAACACGUGAGCAAUCUGCCUCGAACUCUGGGAUAAGCGUUGGAAACGACGUCUAAUACCGGAUACGACGCGGGAGGGCAUCCUCUCCUCGUGGAAAGAACUUCGGUUCGGGCUGAGCUCGCGGCCUAUCAGCUUGUUGGUGAGGUAACGGCUCACCAAGGCGACGACGGGUAGCCGGCCUGAGAGGGUGGCCGGCCACCCUGGGACUGGGACACGGCCCAGACUCCUACGGUAGGCAGCAGUGGGGAAUAUUGCACAAUGGGCGCAAGCCUGAUGCAGCAACGCCGCGUGGGGGACGACGGCCUUCGGGUUGUAAACCUCUUUUAGCAGGGAAGAGGCGAAAGUGACGGUACCUGCAGAGAAAGCACCGGCUAACUACGUG
rnacentral:rRNA from 1 species